AUUGAACGCUGGCGGCAUGCCUUACACAUGCAAGUCGAACGGCAGCACGGGGGCAACCCUGGUGGCGAGUGGCGAACGGGUGAGUAACACAUCGGAACGUGCCCAGUAGUGGGGGAUAGCUCGGCGAAAGCCGGAUUAAUACCGCAUACGACCUACGGGUGAAAGCGGGGGAUCGCAAGACCUCGCGCUAUUGGAGCGGCCGAUGUCAGAUUAGGUUGUUGGUGGGGUAAAGGCCUACCAAGCCGACGAUCUGUAGCUGGUCUGAGAGGACGACCAGCCACACUGGGACUGAGACACGGCCCAGACUCCUACGGGAGGCAGCAGUGGGGAAUUUUGGACAAUGGGCGCAAGCCUGAUCCAGCCAUGCCGCGUGCGGGAAGAAGGCCU
rnacentral:rRNA from 1 species